rnacentral:rRNA from 1 species
CAGGUAGGCGGCCUCAUAUGUCCUUUGUGAAAGCCCUCGGCUCAACCGAGGAACUGCAGGGGAAACUGUGGGGCUUGAGUCCGGGAGAGGGUAGCGGAAUUCCCAGUGUAGCGGUGAAAUGCGUAGAUAUUGGGAGGAACACCAGUGGCGAAGGCGGCUACCUGGACCGGUACUGACGCUAAGCUGCGAAAGCUAGGGGAGCAAACGGGAUUAGAUACCCCGGUAGUCCUAGCUGUAAACGAUGAGCACUUGGUGUGGCGGGUAUCGACCCCCGCUGUGCCGAAGCUAACGCAUUAAGUGCUCCGCCUGGGGAGUACGGUCGCAAGGCUGAA